rnacentral:rRNA from 1 species
UAGGGAAUCUUCGGCAAUGGGGGCAACCCUGACCGAGCGACGCCGCGUGAGUGAAGAAGGUUUUCGGAUCGUAAAGCUCUGUUGUAAGAGAAGAACGUGUGUGAGAGUGGAAAGUUCACACAAUGACGGUAACUUACCAGAAAGGGACGGCUAACUACGUACCAG